rnacentral:rRNA from 1 species
UACGGGGGGUGCGAGCGUUGUCCGGAAUCACUGGGCGUAAAGGGCGCGUAGGUGGUUUGAUAAGGGUGUGGUGAAAGUCCGGGGCUCAACCCCGGAUCUGCCAUGCCGACUGUCAAACUCGAGGACUGUAGAGGCAGACGGAAUUCCGGGUGUAGCGGAUGGAAUGCGUAGAGAUCCGGAGGAAGACCGGUGGCGAAGGCGGUCUGCUGGGCAGUUUCUGACACUGAGGCGCGACGAGCGUGGGGAGCAAACAGG